UACAGAGGGGGCCAGCGUUAUUCGGAAUUAUUGGGCGUAAAGGGCGUGUAGGCGGCCACCGCAAGUCGGUUGUGAAAUCUCCGGGCUUAACCCGGAAAGGUCAACCGAUACUGCGGGGCUAGAGUGCAGAAGGGGCAACUGGAAUUCUCGGUGUAGCGGUGAAAUGCGUAGAUAUCGAGAGGAACACCUGCGGCGAAGGCGGGUUGCUGGGCUGACACUGACGCUGAAACGCGAAAGCUAGGGGAGCGAACGGG
rnacentral:rRNA from 1 species